rnacentral:lncRNA from 1 species
UUGUAGGAUGGUUUGAGGGGCUUUUAAAAGUGGUUGUUGGAUUGGAUAUAGAGAAUGGGUAGCAGUGAGAAUUCUAGAGACCAAACAAAAAUUAAAAUAGACCCCAAAUCCAACAAAAAUCAAAGAGGAAUCCACAAACCCCAAAAAAAUUAAAAAAUAAAAUCUUAUAAUAUAAAAAACAAAUGGAUGGUAGAAAAAAAUCAAGCAUCAAGCCAUCAGCCCUCAACCAUCAACAAUAAAUGCAAAAACAACAAAAACGUUGGGAACCCCUAAAAAUAUUUUCAAAACCCAUUCAAAGCAUAAUCUAGAUCCUUCCAGAACCUUUCCCCUUCUCCCUAACUAUUUCUCAUCCCUAACCUAAAGAAC